CACGUAGGGGGCAAGCGUUGUCCGGAUUUAUUGGGCGUAAAGAGCUCGUAGGUGGUUCGGUAAGUCGGGUGUUAAACCCCCAGGCUCAACCUGGGGACGCCACUCGAUACUGCUGUGACUAGAGUCCGGUAGGGGAGCGUGGAAUUCCUGGUGUAGCGGUGAAAUGCGCAGAUAUCAGGAGGAACACCGGUGGCGAAGGCGGUUCUCUGGGCAUUACCUGACGCUGAGGAGCGAAAGCGUGGGGAGCGAACAGG
rnacentral:rRNA from 1 species